AACAAUUUACUGACCAAACUUUGCCGCCACCCCUCCCAAUAGUUGCACUUAAUUGCCAAAUUCCUUCAAAUGAAAAAGGGUUUUAUACUGAUACUUUGUUGUUGUUGUUGUUGUUUUUAAAGGAAGUAUAGCAUGCUCUUAUUAAAUCUCUAGGGCAUGAAGGGCAAGUACCACUGAGAGCUCCAAAACCACAAAGUCAUCAGGAUUCUUUGAAAAGUUAAAUUGGCCAAUCUCUUCCAUUAUGCAUAAAAUCCAUUAGAGUUUAGCUGCCUUUUACAACAGCCCCCUGCCUGGCGCUUUUCCAAGGCAACAUCCAAGGACUGCAUUGCUCCUGCUUACCUAUUGUUGUCUAAUCUUGGUAUGGCUGGAAUGUAAUAUGAGGAUAUUCUUUGCACCCUGUUUUGAUUUUUAAAAAAGCCACUGCAAAUGACUCCCUUCAGAAGCAAAUUGGUUUAUCAAUCAAACGCACACAAACGCACA